rnacentral:rRNA from 2 species
UUAAGCGACUAAGCGUACACGGUGGAUGCCCUGGCAGUCAGAGGCGAUGAAGGACGUGCUAAUCUGCGAAAAGCGUCGGUAAGGUGAUAUGAACCGUUAUAACCGGCGAUGUCCGAAUGGGGAAACCCAGUGCAAUUCGUUGCACUAUCGUUAACUGAAUACAUAGGUUAACGAGGCGAACCGGGGGAACUGAAACAUCUAAGUACCCCGAGGAAAAGAAAUCAACCGAGAUUCCCCCAGUAGCGGCGAGCGAACGGGGAGCAGCCCAGAGUCUGAAUCAGCUUGUGUGUUAGUGGAACGGUCUGGAAAGUCCGACGGUACAGGGUGAUAGUCCCGUACACCAAAAUGCACAGGUUGUGAACUCGAAGAGUAGGGCGGGACACGUGGUAUCCUGUCUGAAUAUGGGGGGACCAUCCUCCAAGGCUAAAUACUCCUGACUGACCGAUAGUGAACCAGUACCGUGAGGGAAAGGCGAAAAGAACCCCGGCGAGGGGAGUGAAAAAGAACCUGAAACCGUGUACGUACAAGCAGUGGGAGCACCUUCGGGUGUGACUGCGUACCUUUUGUAUAAUGGGUCAGCGACUUAUAUUCUGUAGCAAGGUUAACCGUAUAGGGGAGCCGCAGGGAAACCGAGUCUUAACUGGGCGUUAAGUUGCAGGGUAUAGACCCGAAACCCGGUGAUCUAGCCAUGGGCAGGUUGAAGGUUGGGUAACACUAACUGGAGGACCGAACCGACUAAUGUUGAAAAAUUAGCGGAUGACUUGUGGCUGGGGGUGAAAGGCCAAUCAAACCGGGAGAUAGCUGGUUCUCCCCGAAAGCUAUUUAGGUAGCGCCUCGUGAACUCAUCUUCGGGGGUAGAGCACUGUUUCGGCUAGGGGGUCAUCCCGACUUACCAACCCGAUGCAAACUACGAAUACCGAAGAAUGUUAUCACGGGAGACACACGGCGGGUGCUAACGUCCGUCGUGAAGAGGGAAACAACCCAGACCGCCAGCUAAGGUCCCAAAGUCAUGGUUAAGUGGGAAACGAUGUGGGAAGGCACAGACAGCCAGGAUGUUGGCUUAGAAGCAGCCAUCAUUUAAAGAAAGCGUAAUAGCUCACUGGUCGAGUCGGCCUGCGCGGAAGAUGUAACGGGGCUAAACCAUGCACCGAAGCUGCGGCAGCGACACUAUGUGUUGUUGGGUAGGGGAGCGUUCUGUAAGCCUGCGAAGGUGUGCUGUGAGGCAUGCUGGAGGUAUCAGAAGUGCGAAUGCUGACAUAAGUAACGAUAAAGCGGGUGAAAAGCCCGCUCGCCGGAAGACCAAGGGUUCCUGUCCAACGUUAAUCGGGGCAGGGUGAGUCGACCCCUAAGGCGAGGCCGAAAGGCGUAGUCGAUGGGAAACAGGUUAAUAUUCCUGUACUUGGUGUUACUGCGAAGGGGGGACGGAGAAGGCUAUGUUAGCCGGGCGACGGUUGUCCCGGUUUAAGCAUGUAGGCUGGUUAUCCAGGCAAAUCCGGAUAAUCAAGGCUGAGGUGUGAUGACGAGGCACUACGGUGCUGAAGUAACAAAUGCCCUGCUUCCAGGAAAAGCCUCUAAGCAUCAGGUAACAUCAAAUCGUACCCCAAACCGACACAGGUGGUCAGGUAGAGAAUACCAAGGCGCUUGAGAGAACUCGGGUGAAGGAACUAGGCAAAAUGGUGCCGUAACUUCGGGAGAAGGCACGCUGGUGUGUAGGUGAAGUCCCUGCGGAUGGAGCUGAGACCAGUCGAAGAUACCAGCUGGCUGCAACUGUUUAUUAAAAACACAGCACUGUGCAAACACGAAAGUGGACGUAUACGGUGUGACGCCUGCCCGGUGCCGGAAGGUUAAUUGAUGGGGUUAUCCGUAAGGAGAAGCUCUUGAUCGAAGCCCCGGUAAACGGCGGCCGUAACUAUAACGGUCCUAAGGUAGCGAAAUUCCUUGUCGGGUAAGUUCCGACCUGCACGAAUGGCGUAAUGAUGGCCAGGCUGUCUCCACCCGAGACUCAGUGAAAUUGAACUCGCUGUGAAGAUGCAGUGUACCCGCGGCAAGACGGAAAGACCCCGUGAACCUUUACUAUAGCUUGACACUGAACAUUGAGCCUUGAUGUGUAGGAUAGGUGGGAGGCUUUGAAGCGUGGACGCCAGUCUGCGUGGAGCCAACCUUGAAAUACCACCCUUUAAUGUUUGAUGUUCUAACGUUGGCCCCUGACCGGGGUUGCGGACAGUGUCUGGUGGGUAGUUUGACUGGGGCGGUCUCCUCCCAAAGCGUAACGGAGGAGCACGAAGGUUAGCUAAUCCUGGUCGGACAUCAGGAGGUUAGUGCAAUGGCAUAAGCUAGCUUGACUGCGAGCGUGACGGCGCGAGCAGGUGCGAAAGCAGGUCAUAGUGAUCCGGUGGUUCUGAAUGGAAGGGCCAUCGCUCAACGGAUAAAAGGUACUCCGGGGAUAACAGGCUGAUACCGCCCAAGAGUUCAUAUCGACGGCGGUGUUUGGCACCUCGAUGUCGGCUCAUCACAUCCUGGGGCUGAAGUAGGUCCCAAGGGUAUGGCUGUUCGCCAUUUAAAGUGGUACGCGAGCUGGGUUUAGAACGUCGUGAGACAGUUCGGUCCCUAUCUGCCGUGGGCGCUGGAGAAUUGAGGGGGGCUGCUCCUAGUACGAGAGGACCGGAGUGGACGCAUCACUGGUGUUCGGGUUGUCAUGCCAAUGGCACUGCCCGGUAGCUAAAUGCGGAAGAGAUAAGUGCUGAAAGCAUCUAAGCACGAAACUUGCCCCGAGAUGAGUUCUCCCUGAGACUUUAAGUCUCCUGAAGGAACGUU